rnacentral:rRNA from 1 species
CACGUAGGGCGCGAGCGUUGUCCGGAAUUAUUGGGCGUAAAGAGCUCGUAGGCGGCCUGUUGCGUCCGCUGUGAAAGCCCGGGGCUUAACCCCGGGUCUGCAGUGGAUACGGGCAGGCUAGAGGUAGGUAGGGGAGAAUGGAAUUCCCGGUGUAGCGGUGAAAUGCGCAGAUAUCGGGAGGAACACCGGUGGCGAAGGCGGGUCUCUGGGCCGUUACUGACGCUGAGGAGCGAAAGCGUGGGGAGCGAACAGG